rnacentral:rRNA from 1 species
UACGUAAGGACCGAGCGUUGUCCGGAAUCAUUGGGCGUAAAGGGUACGUAGGCGGGUUUUUAAGUUAGAAGUCAAAGGCUAUAGCUCAACUAUAGUAAGCUUCUAAAACUGGGGACCUUGAGUAAUGGAAGGGAAAGUGGAAUUCCUAGUGUAGCGGUGGAAUGCGCAGAUAUUAGGAGGAAUACCGGUGGCGAAGGCGACUUUCUGGCCAUUAACUGACGCUGAGGUACGAAAGCGUGGGUAGCAAACAGGAUUAGAUACCCCCGUAGUCC